UACGUAGGGUGCGAGCGUUAAUCGGAAUUACUGGGCGUAAAGAGCGCGCAGGCGGUCGUAUAAGUCGAAUGUGAAAGCCCCUGGCUCAACUAGGGAGAGUCAUUCGAUACUGUUCGACUCGAAGGCAGGAGAGGGAAGUGGAAUUCCGGGUGUAGUGGUGAAACGCGUAGAUAUCCGGAGGAACACCAGUGGCGAAGGCGACUUUCUGGCCUGUUCUUGACGCUGAGGCGCGAAAGCUAGGGGAGCAAACGGG
rnacentral:rRNA from 1 species